UACGGGGGGGGCAAGCGUUGUUCGGAAUUACUGGGCGUAAAGAGCUCGUAGGCGGCUUGUUGCGUCGACCGUGAAAACCCGUGGCUUAACUGCGGGCUUGCGGUCGAUACGGGCGGGCUGGAGUUCGGUAGGGGAGACUGGAAUUCCUGGUGUAGCGGUGAAAUGCGCAGAUAUCAGGAGGAACACCGGUGGCGAAGGCGGGUCUCUGGGCCGAUACUGACGCUGAGGAGCGAAAGCGUGGGGAGCGAACAGG
rnacentral:rRNA from 1 species